CUUUGAAUAUGAUGGCAAGGCUUCUCCGAAAUGCUUCUUCUCUCGGAUGCCUCUGUUUUUGCAACCUCUCUCUCCGACUUUAUAGGAAAGUCUUGUUAGGGCAUACACUCAACUCUCCUACUUUUCCUCCAAAAGGUAGAAGAAAAUCCAAGUCAGACGUCAAAGAAAGAUUUGGUGCUCAAGUACUAUCAGAUCACUGCAUCAUUUGGAAAAGGUUCUAUCAUGUGGCUUGGCCGCUCUGCCCCUGUCAAACAAGUUCCAGUUGUGUCCACAGGUUCAUUUGCUUUGGAUAUUGCAUUUGGGAUUGGAGGACUUCC